UACAGAGGUCCCGAGCGUUGUUCGGAUUCACUGGGCGUAAAGGGUGCGUAGGUGGCCUGAAAAGUUUGAUGUGAAAGCUCAGGGCUUAACCCUGAAAUGGCAUUGAAUACUGUCGGGCUGGAGGUUUGGAGGGGGGACUGGAAUUCUUGGUGUAGCAGUGAAAUGCGUAGAUAUCAAGCGGAACACCGGUGGCGAAGGCGGCCUUCUGGACAGUGACUGACGCUGAGACGCGAAAGCGUGGGGAGCAAACAGG
rnacentral:rRNA from 1 species